rnacentral:rRNA from 1 species
UUGUCUUUUAAUUAAAGACUGGAAUAAAUGAGUUGACGAAGAGAAACCUGUCUUUUUCAAGAAAUUUAAACUUACCUUUAAGGUUAAAAGGCCUUAAAUUCCUAAAGGGACGACAAGACCCUAAAAACUUUAUCUUUUCCUAAUUUUCCAAGAAAAAUAAUAAUAAAAGAUUUUACUGGGGCGGUAAAUUGCAACAAAAUUUUAUAAAACACUCUGGGUGAAAUAGAAUUACAUGUAUACAUAAAAGAAUUAGUUACUUUAGGGAUAACAGCGCAAUUUUUCCAGAGAGUUCUAAUCGGCGGAAAAGAUUACGACCUCGAUGUUGAAUUGAGAUUUCUUCUUUUGAGCAGAAACAAAGAAAGUAAGUCUGUUCGACUUUUAAAAUUUCACAUGAUCUGAGUUCAAAC